ensembl:misc_RNA Metazoa_SRP Metazoan signal recognition particle RNA
GUCAGGUGUGGUGGUUCACGCCUUUAAUCCUAGCUCUUUGGGAGGCCGAGGUGGGUGGAUCACUUGAGGCCAGGAGUUCGAGACCUCGCCUGGCCAACAUAGUGAAAACCCAUCUCUA